GAAAAGUACCCGACGCGAAGCCAGAAGUUACCGUCGAGGCCAAAAACGCGCGAGGAGUGCGCGCAGAAGUGUGUCAAGGAGACGGAGAUGCCAUGUCGUUCCUUUGAGUUCUGUAACAACAAAGGCCAGCUGGUGUGCAACAUGCACAAGUCACACCUCAUGGACAUGAAUAACUCUGGCAACCUCUCCGACCAUGGGACCUGCGACUUCUAUACACGAAGCUACAUCUCUGACUUCCAACUGUACGCGAAUUCGACCUUCAGCGAGCCGCAGCCGCAGCAGAUCGAGAUAGACAAAUCUUCGCUG